rnacentral:misc_RNA from 1 species
AACCUAGCACACCUGCGGUGUGUACCUGCGGAGGGAUCAUUACCAAUUAUAUAUGUUAGUUUGCGUAUCUCUGUCAAAGGGGGUCGCAUAACUACUAUGUAAACGUUGAACUAGAUCAAUUGGUGUGGAUUGCUUGGGAAUGGACGAAGCGACAAGCCUCUUCCGGACAGGCAAGCCCCACACUGAUAACCUUUUUCAUAUCAUUUACUCGUAUAUACCACAACAACAAAAAAUCUUAUA